rnacentral:rRNA from 1 species
UCCAGACUCCUACGGGAGGCAGCAGUGGGGAAUAUUGGGCAAUGGGCGCAAGCCUGACCCAGCAACGCCGCGUGAAGGAAGAAGGCUUUCGGGUUGUAAACUUCUUUUAAGAGGGAAGAGUAGAAGACGGUACCUCUUGAAUAAGCCACGGCUAACUACGUGCCAGCAGCCGCGGUAAUACGUAGGUGGCAAGCGUUGUCCGGAUUUACUGGAUGUAAAGGGCGUGUAGCCGGGCCGGCAAGUCAGAUGUGAAAUCCCAAGGCUCAACCUUGGAACUGCAUUUGAAACUGUUGGUCUUGAGUAUCGGAGAGGCAGGCGGAAUUCCUAGUGUAGCGGUGAAAUGCGUAGAUAUUAGGAGGAACACCAGUGGCGAAGGCGGCCUGCUGGACGACAACUGACGGUGAGGCGCGAAAGCGUGGGGAGCAAGCAGGAUUAGAUACCCUUGUAG